GGUUUCGUGUGAACAGUGGUUGAUCACGAGUUAGUCGGUCCUAAGUUCAAGGCGAAAGCCGAAAAUUUUCAAGUAAAAAAUCAAUAAGCAUAUAUUGUCAAAUCUUUAAUGAUUUUUUUGAAACACUUGAAUAAUUUUGAACGAAAGGGAAUACGGUUCUAAUUCCGUAACCUGUUGAGUAUCCGUUUGUUAUUAAAUAUGGGCCUCGUGCUCAUCCUGGCAACAGGAACGACCAUAAAGAAGCCGUCGAGAGAUAUCGGAAGAGUUUUCUUUUCUGUUUUAUAGCCGUAC
rnacentral:rRNA from 1 species